GAUGAACGCUGGCGGCGUGCCUAAUACAUGCAAGUCGAGCGAACAGACGAGGAGCUUGCCCCUCUGACGUUAGCGGCGGACGGGUGAGUAACACGUGUAUAACCUACCUAUAAGACUGGGAUAACUUCGGGAAACCGGAGCUAAUCCCGGAUAAUAUAUUGAACCGCAUGGUUCAAUAGUGAAAGACGGUUUUGCUGUCACUUAUCGAUGGAUCCGCGCCGCAUUAGCUAGUUGGUAAGGUAACGGCUUACCAAGGCAACGAUGCGUAGCCGACCUGAGAGGGUGAUCGGCCACACUGGAACUGAGACACGGUCCAGGCUCCUACGGGAGGCAGCAGUAGGGAAUCGUCCGCAAUGGGCGAAAGCCUGACGGAGCAACGCCGCGUGAGUGAUGAAGGUCUUCGGAUCGUAAAACUCUGUUAUUAGGGAAGAACAAAUGUGUAAGUAACUAUGCACGUCUUGACGGUACCUAAUCAGAAAGCCACGGCUAACUACGUG
rnacentral:rRNA from 1 species